GAUGAACGCUAGCGGCAGGCUUAACACAUGCAAGUCGAGGGGUAUUUAUCUUCGGAUAGAGAGACCGGCGCACGGGUGCGUAACGCGUAUGCAAUCUACCUUUACAGAGGGAUAGCCCAGAGAAAUUUGGAUUAAUACCUCAUAGCAUAGCAAUCUCGCAUGAGAUCACUAUUAAAGUCACAACGGUAAAGAUGAGCAUGCGUCCCAUUAGCUAGUUGGUAAGGUAACGGCUUACCAAGGCUACGAUGGGUAGGGUCCUGAGAGGGAGAUCCCCCACACUGGUACUGAGACACGGACCAGACUCCUACGGGAGGCAGCAGUGAGGAAUAUUGGACAAUGGGCGCAAGCCUGAUCCAGCCAUGCCGCGUGCAGGAUGACGGUCCUA
rnacentral:rRNA from 1 species